CAAUCGAACUUGGAGAUAGCUGGUUCUCCUCGAAAUAGCUUUAGGGCUAGCCUCAGGAGAAGAAUCGUGGAGGUAGAGCACUGAAUGGGCUAGGGGGCCAACAAGCUUACCGAACCCUAUCAAACUCCGAAUGCCAUAGAUUUGCUUCCUGGGAGUCAGACUGCGGGAGAUAAGUUUCGUAGUCAAAAGGGAAACAGCCCAGAUCAUCAGCUAAGGUCCCAAAGUACAGGUUAAGUGGAAAAGGAUGUGGGAUUGCACAGACAACCAGGAUGUUGGCUUAGAAGCAGCCAUACAUUUAAAGAGUGCGUAAUAGCUCACUGGUCGAGUGAUCCUGCGCCGAAAAUGUCCGGGGCUCAAACCUGUCACCGAAGCUAUGGAUUGCAGUGAUAAGCUACAGUGGUAGAGGAGCAUUCCAUGCUGGCUGAAGCUGUACCGUAAGGAGCAGUGGACGGCAUGGAAGAGAGAAUGCCGGUAUAAGUAGCGAGAGCGAAGUGAGAAUCUUUGCCGUCGAAAGCCCAAGGUUUCCUGAGGAAGGUUCGUCCCCUCAGGGUAAGUCGGGGCCUAAGCCGAGGACGAAAGUCGUAGGCGAUGGACAAUCGGUUGAAAUUCCGAUACCACCGACAUCCGCUUGAGAGAAGCAGUGACACAGGAGGAUAGAUGGAGCAGGUUGCUGGUAGAGCCUGUUCAAGCAGUGAGUCUGGGGAAUGAGUGAAGUACCAUUUCCCAAGGAUAAGCUGUGAUGAGGACCGAAAUUAAGUAGGGAAGCCAUCGAAUCCACACUGGCGAGAAAAGCUGCUAUCGAGGAUGAAGGUGCCCGUACCGCAAACCGACACAGGUGGGCGAGGAGAGAAUCCUAAGACGAACGGGAGAACCCUUGUUAAGGAACUCGGCAAAAUGACCCCGUAACUUCGGGAGAAGGGGUGCCUGGGAAACCAGGCCGCAGAGAAUAGGCCCAAGCGACUGUUUAGCAAAAACACAGGUAUCUGCUAACUCGAGAGAGGAAGUAUAGGUGCUGACGCCUGCCCAGUGCUGGAAGGUUAAGGGGAAAUGUUAGAGGCAACUCGAGGCAUAGAACCGAAGCCCCAGUGAACGGCGGCCGUAACUAUAACGGUCCUAAGGUAGCGAA
rnacentral:rRNA from 1 species